UUCCUUAUGAUGACUAGACUUAACCAUUUACAUCAUAAUUAAGGUAUUAUGAAAUGAGACAACAGUGAGCCUUGGAAUGUAAACUUCUUGAGGGCAGGAAAAGUACAUUCCUUUUCACACAGCAUAGCCCCUGAUACCUACUAGGGGCUUAAAUGCUUGUCCACUGAUUGAAAAGUUGGUCCAAAAGAUGCCACGUCUUGGGACAGUAUGCUGUCAGUGCCCUCCUGGUUACUCUGGGGAAUCCAAUGUCAUGUGAAACGGAAAAGCUACCAGGAUGGAUUUUCCAUCCCUUGCUGAAAUCCCAUUGUGAAAGAGAAAAAUUCUUUGAUCUCCUGGAAUGACUUUCUGACACUAGAGGUGGGACCUGGGCCUGUGAUUUCGUUGGCACAGAGAAUAGGUUUCAGUUCUUUGGAGACCGUGUCUUACAAUCAUAUAACAACCAAGAAUGCUGAUAUUAAAAGGUUGAGCCGUCGUUUCUGGAGAAAUUAG
rnacentral:lncRNA from 1 species